rnacentral:rRNA from 1 species
GACAGAGGGUGCAAACGUUGCUCGGAAUCACUGGGCGUAAAGGGCGUGUAGGCGGGUAGAUAAGUCGGGCGUGAAAUCCCUAGGCUCAACCUAGGAACUGCACUCGAAACUGUUUAUCUUGAGUGCCGGAGAGGAAAGCGGAAUUCCUGGUGUAGAGGUGAAAUUCGUAGAUAUCAGGAGGAACACCAGUGGCGAAGGCGGCUUCCUGGACCUGUUCUGACACUGAGGAGCGAAAGCGUGGGGAGCGAUCCGG